rnacentral:rRNA from 1 species
GACGAACGCUGGCGGCGUGCUUAACACAUGCAAGUCGAGCGAGCGGCGGACGGGUGAGUAAUGUAUGGGGACUGCCCGAUAGCGGGGGAUAACUACUGGAAACGGUAGCUAAUACCGCCUACUAUCGGAUAACCCAUAUGGGAUUCGCUAGUUGGUGAGGUAAUGGCUCACCAAGGCGACGAUCCCUAGCUGGUCUGAGAGGAUGAUCAGCAACGCUGGGAGGGAGACACGGCCCAGAGACCUACGGAGGCAGCAGUGGGGAAUAUGGCACAAGGGGGACAAGGCGGAUGCAGCCAUGCGGCGAGGAUGAAGAAGGCCUUAGGGUUGGAAACCUCUGUCGAUAUCGAGCGGGUAGGUGGAGAAGAAGCGCCGGCUAACUACGUGCCAGCAGCCGCGGUAAUAC